GCUUCCUUAGUAUAGAUGGUCAUUAUACUAGACUUGUAAUCUUGAGAGGUAAGUUCGACUCUUACAGGAAGCUCA
rnacentral:tRNA from 1 species